rnacentral:rRNA from 1 species
CACGUAGUUAGCCGGUGCUUCUUCUGCAGGUACCGUCACAAAAGCUUCGUCCCUGCUGAAAGCGGUUUACAACCCGAAGGCCGUCAUCCCGCACGCGGCGUUGCUGCAUCAGGCUUGCGCCCAUUGUGCAAUAUUCCCCACUGCUGCCUCCCGUAGGAGUCUGGGCCGUAUCUCAGUCCCAAUGUGGCCGGUCACCCUCUCAGGCCGGCUACCCGUCGCCGCCUUGGUAGGCCACUACCCCACCAACAAGCUGAUAGGCCGCGAGUCCAUCCACAACCGCCGGAGCUUUCCAACCCCCACCAUGCAGCAGGAGCACAUAUCCAGUAUUAGCACCAGUUUCCUAGCGUUAUCCCAAAGUUGUGGGCAGGUUACUCACGUGUUACUCACCCGUUCGCCACUCGUGUACCCCCGAAAGGGCCUUACCGUACGACUUGCAUGUGUUAAGCACGCCGCCAGCGUUCGUCCUGAGCCAGGAUCAAACUCU